rnacentral:rRNA from 1 species
GAUGAACGCUGGCGGCGUGCCUAAUACAUGCAAGUCGAACGCUUCACUUCGGUGAAUGGUGUCGAACGGGUGGUGAAUACAUAAUGAACCUGGCGUCGACAGGGGGCUAACUAGUGGGAACUUCAGCUAAGACCGCGUAGGUGUAGAGAUCGCAUUAACUCUAUAUGAAAAGUUCUACGGGACUGGUAGAUGAUGGUCUUGUGGCGCAUUAGCUUGUUGGUAGGGUAACGGCCUACCAAGGCGACGAUGCGUAGCCGACCUGAGAGGGUGACCGGCCACACUGGGACUGAGACACGGCCCAGACUCCUACGGGAGGCAGCAGUAGGGAAUUUUCGGCAAUGGGGGAAACCCUGACCGAGCAACGCCGCGUGAAGGAAGAAGUAAUUCGGUAUGUAAAAUUCUGUUAUAGAGGAAGAACGGUGGAUAUAGGGACUGAUAUCCAAGUGACGGUACUCUAUAAGAAAGCCACGGCUAACUACGUG